rnacentral:lncRNA from 1 species
CGCUCUCUUUUGGAAGCGGGCGUAAAGGACUUCGCUUUUUGUCACCAUCUUUGCGAUGUCUGCGAAGACGAACAAAAUUAGAACAUUAGAACAAUAAGAAAAUAAAAAGUUGUUGUAACUAUCCUUACCCUGAGGACGUGCCGAGCUUAGGCCCACGUUCACCAGAGCGUCCUCGCUAAUGAGGCCGUUCAGCAGAAUCCCGUCCCCAAGGCCGCGAAUAGUGUUGAGGAUCUCCUGCUCAUGCGGAGAAAGCUG